CCUACGGGUGGCAGCAGUGAGGAAUAUUGGUCAAUGGCCGGAAGGCUGAACCAGCCAUGCCGCGUGAAGGUCAGUGCCCUAUGGGCGUUAAACUUCUUUCGUGCGGGAGCAAUAAUGGUCACGUGUGGCCAGUCGAGAGUACCGUACGAAUAAGCAUCGGCAUACUCCGUGCCAGCAGCCGCGGGAAUACGGGGGAUGCAAGCGUUAUCCGGAUUUAUUGGGUUUAAAGGGUGCGUAGGCUGUGUGGUAAGUCAGCGGUGGAAUGCCCCCGCACAACGGGGUGAAGUGCCAUUGAUACUGGCUUGCUGGAGUGCGGAUGCGGUGGGAAGAAUGUGAGGUGUAGCGGUGAAAUGCAUAGAGAUCA
rnacentral:rRNA from 1 species